AGAGUUUGAUCAUGGCUCAGGAUGAACGCUGGCGGCGUGCCUAAUACAUGCAAGUAGAACGCUGAAGCUUGGUGCUUGCACCGAGCGGAUGAGUUGCGAACGGGUGAGUAACGCGUAGGUAACCUGCCUCUUAGCGGGGGAUAACUAUUGGAAACGAUAGCUAAUACCGCAUAAAAGUCGACAUUGCAUGAUGUUGACUUGAAAGGUGCAAUUGCAUCACUAAGAGAUGGACCUGCGUUGUAUUAGCUAGUUGGUGAGGUAACGGCUCACCAAGGCGACGAUACAUAGCCGACCUGAGAGGGUGAUCGGCCACACUGGGACUGAGACACGGCCCAGACUCCUACGGGAGGCAGCAGUAGGGAAUCUUCGGCAAUGGGGGCAACCCUGACCGAGCAACGCCGCGUGAGUGAAGAAGGUUUUCGGAUCGUAAAGCUCUGUUGUAAGAGAAGAACGAGUGUGAGAGUGGAAAGUUCACACUGUGACGGUAACUUACCAGAAAGGGACGGCUAACUACGUGCCAGCAGCCGCGGUAAUACGUAGGUCCCGAGCGUUAUCCGGAUUUAUUGGGCGUAAAGCGAGCGCAGGCGGUUAGAUAAGUCUGAAGUUAAAGGCUGUGGCUUAACCAUAGUACGCUUUGGAAACUGUUUAACUUGAGUGCAGAAGGGGAGAGUGGAAUUCCAUGUGUAGCGGUGAAAUGCGUAGAUAUAUGGAGGAACACCGGUGGCGAAAGCGGCUCUCUGGUCUGUAACUGACGCUGAGGCUCGAAAGCGUGGGGAGCAAACAGGAUUAGAUACCCUGGUAGUCCACGCCGUAAACGAUGAGUGCUAGGUGUUGGGUCCUUUCCGGGACUCAGUGCCGCAGCUAACGCAUUAAGCACUCCGCCUGGGGAGUACGACCGCAAGGUUGAAACUCAAAGGAAUUGACGGGGGCCCGCACAAG
rnacentral:rRNA from 1 species